GUUGCUUCUGAGUGCUUAUUGCACCACAUGUGUUUUUCUUUGAAACAAACUUGCUUUGGCGGUGGGCCCAGCCUGCCGCCAGAGGUCUAAACUUACAACCAAUUUUUUAUCAACUUGUCACACCAGAUUAUUACUUAAUAGUCAAAACUUUCAACAACGGAUCUCUUGGUUCUCGCAUCGAUGAAGAACGCAGCGAAAUGCGAUACGUAAUAUGAAUUGCAGAUAUUCGUGAAUCAUCGAAUCUUUGAACGCACAUUGCGCCCUCUGGUAUUCCGGAGGGCAUGCCUGUUUGAGCGUCGUUUCUCCCUCAAACCGCUGGGUUUGGUGUUGAGCAAUACGACUUGGGUUUGCUUGAAAGACGGUAGUGGUAAGGCGGGAUCGCUUUGACAAUGGCUUAGGUCUAACCAAAAACAUUGCUUGCGGCGGUAACGUCUACCACGUAUAUCUUCAAACUUUGACCUCAAAUCAGGUAGGACUACCCGCUGAACUUAAGCAUAUCAAUAAGCGGAGGAA
rnacentral:rRNA from 1 species